rnacentral:rRNA from 1 species
CAUUAGUUAGUUGGUGAGGUAACGGCUCACCAAGACUGCGAUGGGUAGCCGGCCUGAGAGGGUGAACGGCCACACUGGAACUGAGACACGGUCCAGACUCCUACGGGAGGCAGCAGUGGGGAAUAUUGCACAAUGGAGGAAACUCUGAUGCAGCGACGCCGCGUGAACGAUGAAGGCUUUCGGGUCGUAAAGUUCUGUCCUAGGGGACGAUAAUGACGGUACCCUAGGAGGAAGCCCCGGCUAACUACGUGCCAGCAGCCGCGGUAAUACGUAGGGGGCGAGCGUUGUCCGGAUUUAUUGGGCGUGAAGGGUUCGCAGGCGGUCUCUUAAGUUAGAUGUGAAAGAUCACGGCUCAACCGUGGUAAGCAUUUAAAACUGGGAGACUUGAGUUAAGGAGAGGAAAGUGGAAUUCCUAGUGUAGCGGUGAAAUGCGUAGAUAUUAGGAGGAAUACCAGUGGCGAAGGCGACUUUCUGGACUUAUACUGACGCUGAGGAACGAAAGCGUGGGGAGCAAACAGGAUUAGAUACCCUGGUAGUCCACGCCGUAAACGAUGAGUGCUAGGUGUCGGGGGUCAAACCUCGGUGCCGCAGCUAACGCA